GGGGGCGAACUGGAUUCGACGGGGGUAUGGAAGCUUAAGUGGCGUGCCGGGGCCCUGCAACCUCGCAAAAAAGCAGGAAAAAACACACACGCCGACUCUGAUUACGAGUACGCACUGGCCGCUUAGAUCGGCCACAUCUAAUCUGG
rnacentral:tmRNA from 1 species